rnacentral:misc_RNA from 1 species
UUUGCCGUUUUCUGUUGACCUUUUCGCGUACCGCUAUCGAGUCAAGUCCAUUCUUCAUUGUGUUGGGGCAGCCAUUUUUCGGUUUGGCGUCUGUCGGUGUACGAUUGAAUAAUUUUAGUCGAAUUAGUUUCUGAGCUAGGACUUUUCUACUCUUUCUACUCAGCUUACGAUGAAGACGGAAAAGGAGAAUUUUAAUGAAAAUGGAGGAGGUAUGGACAGAGGUGAUGAAGAAAGGGAUCGAGACAGGAGAGGACGAAGGGAAAGGCAGAGUCGGUUUUCUGGUGGUGGAGAUCGAGACCGCAGUCCUCGUGGGAAAAAACGAGGAAAUCGAGUUUUGGUUUCAAACAUACCGUAUGAAUACCGCUGGCAAGAACUAAAAGAUCUGUUUAGGGAACAAGUUGGAGAAGUUUCAUUUGUCGAACUUUUUGUCGAUGAAAAUGAUAAAGCAAGGGGUGUUGGCAUAAUUGAAUUUGCUUCAAGUGAAAUGGCAAAAGAAGCUGUUGAAAAAAUGCAUAGAUACGACUUAAAAGGAAGAAAACUUGUUGUUAAAGAGGAUGACAGUGAUAGAGAUAAAUAUGGACGGAUCAUCCCAAGGGGUGGUGAUAGAGGUGGACGUCGUGAUAUGGAACGAGGAGGUGGAGGAAACUGGAAUGACAUCCCAUCUUUGGUGAACGGUCCUCCUGGCUCUAACAGUAAAUGGGGCAAUACAUAUGGAUUAAGUUCACAGUUCUUGGAAUCCCUUAAUAUUAAUGGGCCCCUUGUACCUCGAUGCUUUGUAGCCAAUUUGGAUUACAAAGUCGAUGACAAAAAACUUAAAGAAGUAUUCCGACUCGCCGGUAGAGUGAUCAGCGCCGAAAUAAGUUUGGACAAAGAAGGAAAGAGUCGUGGAUUUGGUGUGGUCGAAUAUGAACACCCAGUUGAAGCGGUGCAGGCAAUUUCAAUGCUUAACAAUCAAAUGCUUUAUGAGAGACGACUGUCAGUCAGAAUGGACCGAGUUGAUAAAAAUGAUGGAUUGCCUCCUAAACUGCCAGAAGGGUUGAAGGGCAUUGGAAUGGGCCUUGGUGCUAAUGGCGUCCCCUUACAAGAUGUUGCAAGGAAUUUACCAAACUCACAACCUUCUUCAAUGCCACCUCCAGUCCCAGCUUUAUCUGCAGUUAACAAUCCUGCUUUAGCAGCUGCAGCAUUAGUCGGAAACCUUAUUGGAGCUCAGGGUGGUGGAAGUGGGGACAUCACUUCUCUCGCAGCAAAUUCCCUUGGUCUUAACACCGCAGCUGCUCUUACAGGUGGUGCCAAUCCUCUCGCUGCACAACUCUUAGGUACUGCUGCAUCAGGUGCUGGAAACAUCAAUCCAUUCGGUGGAAACUCAGGUGGUGGCAGAGAUUUUGAUUCGCUCGGAGCCGCUCUUACUGGAGGUUCCGGGUUCAACCAAGGAGGGUCGUCCGGAGGUCUUGCUGCACAAAGGGACAACAGGAACCUGGGAGGAAACACAGGCUCAAUCGGCGGUGGGUGGCAAUCCGACACCAUUAUUAUUUCCAACCUCCCUCCCGGUACUACAGGGAAAAUCCUGAUGGAGAAAUGCAGAGACGUAGGGGACGUGAAAUUCGCUGAAAUGAGGGGGAAGGAAACGGGGAUUGUCCAGUUUACCAACCAAUGGGUUGCCCAGAGGGGGAUCAAUAUGCUUGAUGGAAUGAGAGUUGAUGGAAGAAUUAUUGAAGUUCGCUUUUUCUGAAGCAGCCGACUGAAAUGACCAAUAAGUAUAUAUAAAGGCUGCUCUUUCCGUGGGAUACAAGGAAGAAAGAAAAACCCACUCGGUAACAAUGUUGUCAUAAUUUAUUAAACUAAAAUAUGAUUAUGAUUCUGGAUUGCCUUCUGUUGGAUAUUCAUCUCUUUCUCGUUCGGUUUAUACUGCUUGGCAUUCUUCCGUCUUGGGAUUGAUUCAUGCUGUUGAAUAAUUAAGCAAAUAGAUUCAAAGCAAAAUAAUGAGUUUGGAGAGAAGUUACAAUCGGAGAAAUGACAGAGAUUCUGACUCUCAAAAAUAAAUAAUCAAUAUUAUAUUAUUUGAAAUAAAUAAAUGUUUUUAUAUUUUUUA